rnacentral:rRNA from 1 species
AAUGAUUGGACAAGAAACUUUCUGUCUCAGAUUUAUUUUUUGAAUUUUAUUUCUUAGUCAAAAAGCUUAAAUUGUUUUGUAAGACGAGAAGACCCUAUAGAGUUUAAUAUUUAUUUUUACAUUUAGAUUUUAGAAUUAUAAUCUUUUGUUUAGUAAAAUAUUUGGUUGGGGUGACAGAAAAAUUUAUUGAACUUUUUAUUUAUAAAAUAUAAAUUAAUAGGUUAUUGACUUAUAUAAAUAGUUAAAAGACUAAAUUACCUUAGGGAUAACAGCGUAAUUUUUCUAAAGAGUUCAUAUCGAAAGAAAAGAUUGCGACCUCGAUGUUGGAUUAAAGUUAAAAUUUGGUGCAGAAGCUAAAUUGUUUAGUCUGUUCGACUAUUAAAACUUUACAUGAUCUGAGUUUAAACCGGCGUGAGCCAGGUUGGUUUCUAUCUUCAAUAAGUUAAAAUAUUUUAGUACGAAAGGACCAAAUAUUUUUUAUAUUAAUUUAUUUAUUUGAAUAAAAUU